rnacentral:ncRNA from 1 species
ACUGUCUCAAAGGGGUGCUCUAAAUAACGAGCUGAGAUCAUACCCAAAGAACCUGAGCGAGUAAUGUCGCUAAGGGAAAGACGACAAUUUUAGC